rnacentral:lncRNA from 1 species
AUCUGACUACUCUAGGUACCUCAGAUGAGUGGAAUUAUGCAGUAUUUGUCCUUUUGUGUGUACAACUAAUUUGACAGGCAGUAUGAUAAGGAACAAUCUGAAUGACACGUAAACAGGAGGGGGUAAAUUCCAAGCACAGCCUGAAUGAGAAGUACAACUCAUUUCCUGUAACCUAGAUGCCUUUUUAACACAUCUAUGCAGUCUCCAUGUGAAACCAGGUGCUGUUCCCAAAGGAGAAAACACUGCCCUCCAGUGGUCUUCAAUGAAGAAAUGGAAAUAGUUUCAGGUGGAAACCAGGCUUCUUGGAAGACUUCAAACUAUGCCAAAUGGUCUGAUUUCACCAUAGAGAUUCUUUGCUGAAGAAUGCAGCUGUAUUAAAGGAAGAAAGAAAACCAAGCUACAGCUCCUUAUAAUUCAACAAGCAUUUAAAAGAUUUAUAAAGAUGGUGCAAUUAUGUAUUUAAGCUGCUUCAACACAAGUUCUUGCCUUUCACUCCCACCCUGUGGCUUACACUGGUAUUACAUCUAUUCUGACAUUUAAAAAUCAACAUUAAAGAACAUAUUGUAAUAAUGUAUUCUAUGGUUUAAAUAUUUAAAAAAUUUUACAUCAUACCUAGAAAGUGUUGUGUACUUUCUAAAGCUUAUAAACUGAAAAGGAUUUGAAGAAUCCUAAUACAGAAUCAUAAGUUAUAAUUCAUCCAAAAUUGUAUAGUUCUUAAAUUUCAAAUCCAAACCAGUGGAUAUCUGUCUUUAGUGACAUUUAGAUUUUAUUCAAUUAAGGUCAUUGUAGCUAUUAUAAAUGGAAGAUUUUACUUCAUUGUGUCUUAUCACUGAAGUACUUCACUCUUGCUUUUCAAAAGAUUUCUUUCAAUUUCUUCAGAGUCUUAUUUGUUCUCUAAGACAAAGACUUGAUUUCAGUUUGUUUUUCUUAAAAUUAAUAUCUUCUCCAAUUUAUUUCCCAGUUUUUUCUAAAUAAAUACUUUAAAUAUAUAGAGUAUUAUUUUUAUAGUAUCUCAGAAUUAGUAAAAUAAAAUCUUGCCAAUACAAA